rnacentral:rRNA from 1 species
UACGUAGGGUGCAAGCGUUGUCCGGAAUUAUUGGGCGUAAAGAGCUCGUAGGCGGUUUGUCGCGUCUGCUGUGAAAUCCCGAGGCUCAACCUCGGGCCUGCAGUGGGUACGGGCAGACUAGAGUGCGGUAGGGGAGAUUGGAAUUCCUGGUGUAGCGGUGGAAUGCGCAGAUAUCAGGAGGAACACCGAUGGCGAAGGCAGAUCUCUGGGCCGUAACUGACGCUGAGGAGCCGAAAGCGUGGGGAGCGAACAGG